rnacentral:rRNA from 1 species
AGUUUGAUCCUGGCUCAGGAUUAACGCUGGCGGUAUGCCUAACACAUGCAAGUACGAACGGAAUACUAAUUAAGAGAAUCUCACACUAGUGAGAGGUUCUCACGAGUAGUAUUUAGUGGCGGACGGGUGAGUAACACGUUGGAACCUGCCCCGAAGUGGGGAAUAACUGCUCGAAAGAGUAGCUAAUACCCCAUAGUAUCCGGUUUAUCCGGAUUAAAGAUUUAUCGCUUCGGGAGGGGCCUGCGUCUGAUUAGCUAGUUGGUGAGGUAAAAGCUCACCAAGGCGACGAUCAGUAGCUGGUUCGAGAGGAUGACCAGCCACACUGGGACUGAGAUACGGCCCAGACUCCUACGGGAGGCAGCAGUGAGGAAUCUUCCACAAUGGGCGCAAGCCUGAUGGAGCAAUACCGCGUGCAGGAAGACGCUUUUCGGAGUGUAAACUGCUUUUGUCGUCGAAGAUUAUGACUGUAGACGAAGAAUAAGGACCGGCUAACUACGUG